ACCGGGAGAUAGCUGGUUCUCCCCGAAAGCUAUUUAGGUAGCGCCUCGUGAAUUCAUCUCCGGGGGUAGAGCACUGUUUCGGCAAGGGGGUCAUCCCGACUUACCAACCCGAUGCAAACUGCGAAUACCGGAGAAUGUUAUCACGGGAGACACACGGCGGGUGCUAACGUCCGUCGUGAAGAGGGAAACAACCCAGACCGCCAGCUAAGGUCCCAAAGUCAUGGUUAAGUGGGAAACGAUGUGGGAAGGCCCAGACAGCCAGGAUGUUGGCUUAGAAGCAGCCAUCAUUUAAAGAAAGCGUAAUAGCUCACUGGUCGAGUCGGCCUGCGCGGAAGAUGUAACGGGGCUAAACCAUGCACCGAAGCUGCGGCAGCGACGCUUAUGCGUUGUUGGGUAGGGGAGCGUUCUGUAAGCCUGUGAAGGUGUGCUGUGAGGCAUGCUGGAGGUAUCAGAAGUGCGAAUGCUGACAUAAGUAACGAUAAAGCGGGUGAAAAGCCCGCUCGCCGGAAGACCAAGGGUUCCUGUCCAACGUUAAUCGGGGCAGGGUGAGUCGACCCCUAAGGCGAGGCCGAAAGGCGUAGUCGAUGGGAAACAGGUUAAUAUUCCUGUACUUGGUGUUACUGCGAAGGGGGGACGGAGAAGGCUAUGUUGGCCGGGCGACGGUUGUCCCGGUUUAAGCGUGUAGGCUGGUUUUCCAGGCAAAUCCGGAAAAUCAAGGCUGAGGCGUGAUGACGAGGCACUACGGUGCUGAAGCAACAAAUGCCCUGCUUCCAGGAAAAGCCUCUAAGCAUCAGGUAACAUCAAAUCGUACCCCAAACCGACACAGGUGGUCAGGUAGAGAAUACCAAGGCGCUUGAGAGAACUCGGGUGAAGGAACUAGGCAAAAUGGUGCCGUAACUUCGGGAGAAGGCACGCUGAUAUGUAGGUGAGGUCCCUCGCGGAUGGAGCUGAAAUCAGUCGAAGAUACCAGCUGGCUGCAACUGUUUAUUAAAAACACAGCACUGUGCAAACACGAAAGUGGACGUAUACGGUGUGACGCCUGCCCGGUGCCGGAAGGUUAAUUGAUGGGGUUAGCGGUAACGCGAAGCUCUUGAUCGAAGCCCCGGUAAACGGCGGCCGUAACUAUAACGGUCCUAAGGUAGCGAAAUUCCUUGUCGGGUAAGUUCCGACCUGCACGAAUGGCGUAAUGAUGGCCAGGCUGUCUCCACCCGAGACUCAGUGAAAUUGAACUCGCUGUGAAGAUGCAGUGUACCCGCGGCAAGACGGAAAGACCCCGUGAACCUUUACUAUAGCUUGACACUGAACAUUGAGCCUUGAUGUGUAGGAUAGGUGGGAGGCUUUGAAGUGUGGACGCCAGUCUGCAUGGAGCCGACCUUGAAAUACCACCCUUUAAUGUUUGAUGUUCUAACGUUGACCCGUAAUCCGGGUUGCGGACAGUGUCUGGUGGGUAGUUUGACUGGGGCGGUCUCCUCCUAAAGAGUAACGGAGGAGCACGAAGGUUGGCUAAUCCUGGUCGGACAUCAGGAGGUUAGUGCAAUGGCAUAAGCCAGCUUGACUGCGAGCGUGACGGCGCGAGCAGGUGCGAAAGCAGGUCAUAGUGAUCCGGUGGUUCUGAAUGGAAGGGCCAUCGCUCAACGGAUAAAAGGUACUCCGGGGAUAACAGGCUGAUACCGCCCAAGAGUUCAUAUCGACGGCGGUGUUUGGCACCUCGAUGUCGGCUCAUCACAUCCUGGGGCUGAAGUAGGUCCCAAGGGUAUGGCUGUUCGCCAUUUAAAGUGGUACGCGAGCUGGGUUUAGAACGUCGUGAGACAGUUCGGUCCCUAUCUGCCGUGGGCGCUGGAGAACUGAGGGGGGCUGCUCCUAGUACGAGAGGACCGGAGUGGACGCAUCACUGGUGUUCGGGUUGUCAUGCCAAUGGCACUGCCCGGUAGCUAAAUGCGGAAGAGAUAAGUGCUGAAAGCAUCUAAGCACGAAACUUGCCCCGAGAUGAGUUCUCCCUG
rnacentral:rRNA from 1 species